rnacentral:rRNA from 1 species
UACGGAGGGGGCUAGCGUUGUUCGGAAUUACUGGGCGUAAAGCGCACGCAGGUGGUUCUGUGCGUGGGGUGUGAAAGCUCUCGGCUUAACUGAGAGAGGCCACCUCAUACGGCAGAGCUCGAGCCCGUGAGAGGUCCACGGAAUUGCCGGUGUAAUGGUGAAAUGCGUAGAGAUCCGGAAGAACACCGGAGGCGAAGGCGGCUUGCUGGGCGUGAUCUGACGCUGAGGCGCGAAAGCGUGGGGAGCGAACAGG